GGAACACCAUACUAAUACUGUGUUUGACCCCCUUUCGCCUUCAGAACUGCCUUAAUUCUACGUGGGCACGAAGCUCCCGUUCCACCACAUCCCAAAGAUGCUCUAUUGGGUUGAGAUCUGGUGACUGUGGGGGCCAUUUUAGUACAGUGAACUCAUUGUCAUGUUCAAGAAACCAAUUUGAAAUGA